rnacentral:rRNA from 1 species
AUUGAACGCUGGCGGCAUGCCUUACACAUGCAAGUCGAACGGUAACAGGUCUUCGGAUGCUGACGAGUGGCGCACGGGUGCGUAAUACAUCGGAACGUGCCCAGACGUGGGGAUAACGAGGCGAAAGCUUUGCUAAUACCGCAUACGAUCUAAGGAUGAAAGCAGGGGACCGCAAGGCCUUGUGCGUUUGGAGCGGCCGAUGGCAGAUUAGGUAGUUGGUGGGAUAAAAGCUUACCAAGCCGACGAUCUGUAGCUGGUCUGAGAGGACGACCAGCCACACUGGGACUGAGACACGGCCCAGACUCCUACGGGAGGCAGCAGUGGGGAAUUUUGGACAAUGGGCGAAAGCCUGAUCCAGCAAUGCCGCGUGCAGGAUGAAGGCCUUCGGGUUGUAAACUGCUUUUGUACGGAACGAAAAGGCUCUGGCUAAUACCUGGGGCACAUGACGGUACCGUAAGAAUAAGCACCGGCUAACUACGUG